rnacentral:rRNA from 1 species
UUCCGGUUGAUCCUGCCGGCGGGCACCGCUAUCGGUAUGCGAUUAAGGCAUGCGAGUCGAGAGGUGCAAGACCUCGGCUGACGGCUGAGUAACACGCGGAUAACCUGCCCUGAAGUGGAGGAUAAUCUCGGGAAACUGAGGAUAAUACUCCAUAGGUGUGGUAUGCUGGAAUGCUUCCACGCUUAAAGCUCCGGCGCUUCAGGAUGGGUCUGCGGCCUAUCAGGCUGUAGUGGGUGGUACGGACCCACUAACCUACGACGGGUAGGGGCGUUGAGAGACGGAGCCCCAGAUGGAUUCUGAGACACGAAUCCAGGCCCUACGGGGCGCA